UUGAGGAAGGGCCUCAACUCCAUCAUUGCACUGACCGCCUGGGCCAUUUGGAAGCAUCGCAGCGCGGCUAUCUUCGACGGCUUACGCCCCUCCACUAAAGACCUGAUCAAGAGCAUCAAGGUCGAUGCCCGCCUAUGGGCCAAGGCGGGCGUCACCGGACUAGCUAGCAUUUUACCUGUAGCCUGA
rnacentral:rRNA from 1 species